GUGCAGAGAGAUUAAACUGUUUGAUCUUCAAGUAGCAAGAUAUUCCUCUCCUGCUGUAGAUAUUAUACAAUAACUUUCUCAAGUAUCAACAGCUGCUGAGCGCCUGGAACAUUUGGAAACAUUUCUAACAGUUUAUUUGGAAAGUCUGAAAAAAACAUUACAAGAUCUUGGAUAUCAAAUUUCCUCGGAGUUUACUCAGGAGAAUUUGGCUGCUGAGUACAGACGAGUUGCAGGAUUUGGUUUUCUCUUGAGCACUAGAUGGUUGCCGGGCAGAUAUAUAGAUAAUCUGGACCAGUGUAUUAAAUUGGUGCAAAAGAGAGAGAAAGAAAACUCUUCCGAGGCUGAAGAUAUCAUUAGG